AUUGAACGCUGGCGGCAGGCCUAACACAUGCAAGUCGAGCGGCAGCGGGUCCUUCGGGAUGCCGGCGAGCGGCGGACGGGGGAGUAAUGCCUAGGAAUCUGCCUGGUAGUGGGGGAUAACGUUCGGAAACGGACGCUAAUACCGCAUACGUCCUACGGGAGAAAGUGGGGGAUCUUCGGACCUCACGCUAUCAGAUGAGCCUAGGUCGGAUUAGCUAGUUGGGGGGGUAAAGGCUCACCAAGGCGACGAUCCGUAACUGGUCUGAGAGGAUGAUCAGUCACACUGGAACUGAGACACGGUCCAGACUCCUACGGGAGGCAGCAGUGGGGAAUAUUGGACAAUGGGCGAAAGCCUGAUCCAGCCAUGCCGCGUGUGUGAAGAAGGUCUUCGGAUUGUAAAGCACUUUAAAUUGGGAGGAAGGGCAGCUAGUUAAUACCUGGUUGUUUUGACGUUACCAACAGAAUAAGCACCGGCUAACUUCGUGCCAGCCGCCGCCGUAACAC
rnacentral:rRNA from 1 species